AGCCCGCGAGGUAGAAGCGCCAAAAUGCAAAUUUGGAGACGUACCCUAAUAGGUGCCGGGGCUUCUCCCGUUUUAAGUUAGACGGGAGAAGCUA
rnacentral:tRNA from 1 species